CCCUUAGAUGUUCUGGGCCGCACGCGCGCUACACUGAUGCAUUCAACGAGUCUAAAACCUGCUCUGAUAGGGGUGGGUAAUCUUUUGAAUGUGCAUCGUGAUUGGGAUAGAUGAUUGCAAUUUUUCAUCUUCAACGAGGAAUGCCUAGUAAACGCAAGUCAUCAGCUUGCAUUGAUUACGUCCCUGCCCUUUGAACACACCGCCCGUCGCUCCUACCGAUUGAAUGAUCCGAUGAAUAUCAUGGAUUGAGGAUUAUAGCAGGUUCGCCUGUCUUGAUCUUCGAGAAGUGAAGUAAAUCUUAUCAUUUAGAGGAAGGAGAAGUCGUAACA
rnacentral:rRNA from 1 species